ACACACACACUAUAUAUAUAUAUUGAAUAUUGCCAAACUGCACAUAUUUUUGCACCUAUUUAAAUGAACAGUGAAUUAUAAUUGCAAAUGUUUGUGGUUUUUAUUCAGUGAAUUAUAUGAGCCAUAACAGAUACAGUUACACAUAAUUAUAAACUAGCCAAUGUGUGACUAAUUUAAACUAUAUAAAUCCCCUAAGAUGUAAGGCAUUUGUGAGAAGUGAUUUAUCCAAAGAGAUUUACAGUACAAUUAGUGGUGCUGCUCAAGCAUCACAAUUAAUACUGCAUACAGUUAGAAUAUAUAAAAAAUAAAAAAACAGAAUUUGAUUUCUUCUGUAAUUAAAUCAUGAAUAUAUAAAACAAAACAAAAAAAGAAUUUUCAGGGUUUAAUGCAAUUGCCACAUAUUCAGCGGUGAUUUGUCAGAGACUAAUUUAAAUCUUUUGUAGUUGUAAAAUCUUUUCUCGAUCUUAAAUUUUCCGUUUUCCUCAACUCUGGAUCUCGAGACCCAUUUUCCUGCAGAGUUUCUCUCCAACCCUAAUCAAACACACCUGAAAAGGCUAAUCAAGGUCUUCAGGAUCACUACAAAGUUGCAGGUAAGUGUGUUUAAUACAGGAUGCAGCAAAUCUCUGCAGGAAUGUGGAUCUUGAGCUCCAGAGUUGAGGACCCUUGCCAUAGACCAGUGGACCCUUGGGCUGCAGAAACAUCUAUCGCUCCAUCAACAAGAACAACAGCCCCUGAACUAACAUGUAUAAUAGCUACAGCAGCAUCUAUAGUUCGAUUAACAAAAAAUCCUGCACCAACAUGUAUAUCAGCUACAGCAACAUCUACAGCUCGAUCAUCAACCACAACCCCUGCCCCACAGUCUACAUCUCGCUCAGCAGUCACUGAACCAACAUCUACAACUCAAUCAAGACCACCUGCACCAACUUUAAGUUCAACUGUGCUAACAUCAACCACUCUGUCAUCAACUGCAUCAACAUCGAUAUCAGCUGCAGUAACAUCUACUUCUCAAAAGACAGCUCAACUUACAUAUACAACUCAACCAGCUUCUGUCCCACAAAAUAUGACAGCAUUAGCUUCUGCAACUUUCAAAUUGAGAUGCUUUGCUGAGCUGAGCAAUGAUGAAAUCAUUACAUAUAUUGAAAAGUUUGUCAAGCACUUUCAAUCAAGCAUAAGUGGGACCAUCAAGAUUACUGUGAGGAAAUCAAGAAAACUGUUGGCGUAAGGAUCUGAUGGAAAACUUGUGACUUUCCUCUGUAUACUUGCAUUUUUACUGUUGUAAUUAAACAAUACUAUACAUUGAACACAUAUUAUCGUUGCACCUUUCCUAUAUAAAGUAAAAAAAAUACUCUGAAACAUCCUGCUUGCCAAAAUCCAUUCUUGCAAAGGUUCUGCAUGAUCCUCUCAUUCGUAAACAUUCUCAGGGUCUGAAUCAGGUAAAACUGACACCAUUGUAAUUAUUUACAGCUGGGCAGAUGAAACUAGUGGUUAUUCAUAGCAAAUUGUAGUUCAUUACUGAUUAGAAAUUACAUGAUGAAAACUGUAGUUCGUAACGUAACCUAUAGGUAACCUAUAGGUAAUGAAUUCUGACUACUUUUUAGAUUACUUUUUAAAUGUACCAUAUUGAUAUAAAAAAGAAAAAAGAAAAAAAAUGUAUUCCGUUUUUUGACAUCAACAUUAUAAAAUGCAUCAUGUAAUCCUGUAAUCCAUAAAAAGGUAACUUUAAACUGAUUAUGAGCAUUUAAAAAUGUAAUAUACUCAUAUUUUUGGAAUCUGAUUACUCAAUCCAGUGUACAUGUAAUCAGUUACUACCCAGCACUGCUAACAAAUCAAAGCACAUUAAUAAACAACAAAUCGAAUGAGCA
ensembl:lncRNA